rnacentral:pre_miRNA from 1 species
GUAUUUGCUUCACGUUGAGCCACACGUACAAUACCUGAAGAUGAAGUUUUGUUCGUUCGGCUCGCGUUACGCAGGU